AGUGAACGCUGGCGGUAGGCCUAACACAUGCCAGUCGAACGGCAGCACAGUAAGAGCUUGCUCUUACGGGUGGCGAGUGGCGGACGGGUGAGGAAUACAUCGGAAUCUACUUUUUCGUGGGGGAUAACGUAGGGAAACUUACGCUAAUACCGCAUACGACGUACGGGUGAAAGCAGGGGAUCUUCGGACCUUGCGCGAUUGAAUGAGCCGAUGUCGGAUUAGCUAGUUGGCGGGGUAAAGGCCCACCAAGGCGACGAUCCGUAGCUGGUCUGAGAGGAUGAUCAGCCACACUGGAACUGAGACACGGUCCAGACUCCUACGGGAGGCAGCAGUGGGGAAUAUUGGACAAUGGGCGCAAGCCUGAUCCAGCCAUACCGCGUGGGUGAAGAAGGCCUUCGGGUUGUAAAGCCCUUUUGUUGGGAAAGAAAAGCAGCAGGUUAAUACCCCGCUGUUCUGACGGUACCCAAAGAAUAAGCACCGGCUAACUUCGUG
rnacentral:rRNA from 1 species